UACAGGGGGUGCAAACGUUGCUCGGAAUUAUUGGGCGUAAAGCGCGUGUAGGCGGUCCGGUAAGUCGGUUGUGAAAGUCCAGGGCUCAACCCUGGGAUGCCGACCGAUACUGUCGGACUAGAGUUCGGAAGAGGCGAGUGGAAUUCCCGGUGUAGCGGUGAAAUGCGCAGAUAUCGGGAGGAACACCAAUGGCGAAGGCAGCUCGCUGGGACGUUACUGACGCUGAGACGCGAAAGCGUGGGGAGCAAACAGG
rnacentral:rRNA from 1 species